rnacentral:rRNA from 1 species
AAAUUCUUGUUUUGAGAAUUUGAAAAUUAUGAUUUUGAAAAUUGUUUCGGAUUUCGGAUUUUGAAAAUUCGGAUUUUCCCGUGCAGGGUGUAUGGUUAGCGGCGAACGGGUUAGUAACACGUAGGUAUCUACCAUUAACUCGGGGAUAGCCCGUCGAAAGACGGAAUAAUACCCGAUGGUCCCUGAAGCGCAAGCUGAAGGGUAAAGGCGCAAGCCGGUUGAUGAUGAACCUGCGGACUAUCAGCUAGUUGGUGGGGUAAUGGCUCACCAAGGCGAUGACGGUUAGGGGGAGUGAGAGCUUGUUCCCCAACACUGGGACUGCGACACGGCCCAGACACCUACGGGUGGCAGCAGCCGAAAAUAUUGGACAAUGGGCGAAAGCCUGAUCCAGCGACAUUGCGUGGAGGAUGAAGACGUUCGCGCCGUAAACUCCUUUUAUAGGGAAAGAAGCAAUUGACGGUACUCUAUGAAUAAGCGGGGGCUAAUUCUGUGCCAGCAGCAGCGGUAAUACAGAACCCGCAAGCGUUAUCCGGAUUUAUUGGGCGUAAAGUGUUCGUAGGCUGUAUGGAAAGUCUGGUUUUAAAUACCUCGGGCUCAACCCGGGGGGUGAACCGGAAACUUCCAAACUUGAAGAUGCUAGGGGCUAUCGGAACGCACGGUGUAGGGGUGAAAUCCGUUGAUAUCGUGCGGAACACCAAAAGCGAAGGCAGAUAGCUGGGGCAAUCUUGACGCUGAGGAACGAAAGCGUGGGGAGCAAAAAGGAUUAGAUACCCUUGUAGUCCACGCCCUAAACAUUGGACACUGGUCGCUUGAAGUGUCGACCCUUCAAGUGGCGAAGCUAACGCGUUAAGUGUCCCGCCUGGGAAGUACGGCCGCAAGGCUAAAACUCAAAGGAAUAGACGGGGGCUCACACAAGCGGUGGAUCAUGUGGCUUAAUUCGACAACAAACGAGUAACCUUACCCAGUUUAGACAUUCUACUGAUCGUCCCGUGAAAGCGGGAUUUCCCACAAGGACAGUAGUUCAGGUGCUGCAUGGUUGUCGUCAGCAGGUGUCGUAAGAUGCAUACUUAGAUGUCGUAACCUGCGCAACCCUUAUCUUAUGUUUUACUUGUCAUAAGAAACUGCCGGGGACAACUCGGAGGAAGGUGAGGAUGACGCCAAAUCAGCACGGCCUUUGACAACUGGGGCCGCACACGUGAUACAAUGGCAGUUACAGAGGGCAGCGAUGCCGCAAGGCGGAGCAAAUCCCAUCAAAAACUGCCCUAGUUCGGAUUGAGGUCUGCAACUCGACCUCAUGAAGCCGGAAUCGCUAGUAAACGUGAAUCAUGACGUCACGUUGAAUAUGUUCCUGAGCCUUGUACUCACCGCCCGUCACGCCAAGCGAGUUGGGGACAGCCGAAGCGCCCCGCGAGGGGAACUAAGCUGGAUUCAAUAAGAGGGGCGAAGUCGUAACAAGGCACGGGUAGGGGAACCUGCUCGUGG